rnacentral:lncRNA from 1 species
CGGGUGUUAGGGUGGUUCGUUCACCCAAAUUCUAUGUGUCGGAAUCUAAUAUAAUGUGGAUACAAAUCCCUACUUUGGUGGUAGUCAUAUCCAAGGCGGUUCAAGGCUCAAGGACCGAAAUUCUCUUUCAUGGUAUUCCUACUCCGGUUCAAGGGCCGUAAGAACUCACUUGGCAUGAAUUAGAGCCGGUUCAAGGGUCACUAAUUCACAUCAAGAGGCGUAACGAUCGAGGAAUUAGACUACUAAGCGACCCGCCCGCGCAAUCACGCAACGGGUGUAAAUCACCAUGCUUAUAACCCCUCGAAUACGAAAUUGAAGGUUUCUAGCUUAGGAAUUAGAGGGGGUCAAGCCUCUAACUCCGUUCUAGACAUGCUCAUCUAC